rnacentral:rRNA from 1 species
AUUGAACUCUGGCGGCAGGCCUAACACAUGCAAGUCGAACGAGUGGCGGACGGGUGAGUAAUGUCUGGGAAACUGCCCGAUGGAGGGGGAUAACUACUGGAAACGGUAGCUAAUACCGCAUACCAUCGGAUGUGCCCCGAUGGGAUUAGCUAGUAGGGGGGGUAACGGCUCCCCUAGGCGACGAUCCCUAGCUGGUCUGAUAGGAUGACCAGCCACACGGGAACGGAGACACGGUCAAGACUCCGACGGGAGGCAGAAGUGGGGAAUAUUGCACAAUGGGCGCAAGCCUGAGGCAGCCAUGCCGAGUGUAUGAAGAAGGUCUUCGGGUUGUAAAGUACUUUCAGCGAGUAGGCGUUACUCGCAGAAGAAGCACCGGCUAACUCCGUGCCAGCCGCCGCGGUAAUAC